UUCCUGUAGACACAUACUGUCUCCAGGCUUGGUCCAAUGCUCAUUGAAGUCAUGGAGAAUCUUUACACUGACUUCACUGAGCUUUGGACCAGGUUUCAUGAGAACUCAACCAAGAAAAUAAU
rnacentral:precursor_RNA from 14 species